AUCAUUCUUCCUCAAAUCAAACACCUCCAUAUCCAUCACCUUCACUCAACCCUUUUCACUCAAAACACUAACAUCAAACCAUAAAAUCAACACUAACAACCAUCAAUCCUCCGACAAAAGCUACACGAAAAAACACACUUUCAUCACCAUUUACUCCAUUAAACUCCAAAUUAUUCACCAAACCAUCUUCAACUUUAAACCAUCAUAAGACCUUCAUCCUCCAUAAAUAACCAUUACAAUACCAUCUCUUCCAUACUAGCAAC
rnacentral:lncRNA from 1 species